GCCGGUGUAGCUCAGUUGGUAGAGCAGCGCAUUCGUAAUGCGAAGGUCGGGGGUUCAACUCCUCUCACCGGCACCA
rnacentral:tRNA from 3 species